GUUAUGUAUUAUCAACAAAUACAACUUGUGUUUCAAUAUUAUGAAUGAACACAAAUGCAGCCACUUUCAUUUAAGACAGAAACCAUCUAAAAUUUAACUAAAAUGCUAAAAUUGUGAAGAUUUCAGUUAUAUAGCAUGACUUAAUGCUGCUAGUUCCCGAUAUAUGUGCAUUGUAUUGUCGAAAACAGCCCAUAUGUAUGUAGCAGAAGCAUUCUACUUUCCAAUAAAUAGCUAAAAAAUAGCAUUUUCACAAUUUUGUAAAACUGCUAUAUUUUGAGGCCAAAAAUUGGUCUUACUGAACCUACUCCUUUUGUAAUAUACUUGUGUAAAGAUGUAGUUGAAGGAUUAUGCAUAAUUCUUGUAUGUUAAGGGAAGAGGCAUAUGAUUGAAUAAAUGGUUAAAUAUUGUAGACAACAUUCCACUGAAUGAGUCCUAAUUUUAUGUGAAUAUGACAUUGUGCAAUGACAAUAAUUAUGUAUGCAUCUUUGAUUGAGAAACAAUAUCAUCAAAUAUUUCAUUUAUUCAGCUCAUUGUUUGUUACUGUAAGUUAUUAAUAAUAUUUGUACUUAUAUUUUCUGUUGUUCCAUUGUAUAUUUUUGUCUUGUCUAGUCCACCUAUCAUGUAUAAGAAAAUUGUCAAGGUUGUUGUUUAUGCAUGGUCUUGAAAGCCCUACUCUUUUAGUAAAACUUUUCUGCUAUUGGCAUGAUUGGCAGCUCUUAAUCCUUAUAGACCUACUUGUAUCUAUACUUUCUCUGUUAUUGCAAAGUUGAAUGUACGUUAAAAUAAGAGGUACACAUCUACUAGAGUUUUUUUGCAUAAAAUAAAGUUUUGACCAACUAGAUAAGAUGAAAAAUCCCUUUGAAAAUUUUGUUAAUCUGUGACAACCCUUUCCUUUUGAUAUCCAGUUGUAUGUCUAUAGGUAGAAAAUCCUCCAUAUUGAAUCAUGAUGUCAUGUCAAUAAGAUUAAAACAUGCCUGUCAUUAUCAAAAUUCCAAUUAUGAAGACUCAUUUCUGAUAUGGUGCAGAUACCGGUAGUAAAUCAAACAUUUCAACUUGUGUACUUAUAAAUCUUGUGAUAAACCAGAUGUGUUAUUUACAUGUGGUAUUUGUAAAGUACAAAGAUCUGUAAGGUUUCACUGUAUAAUUGACAGAUGAUAGAGUGAUAGGUGAGCCACAUAUGUUAGAGUAAUAGGUGAGCCACAGGUGAUAGAGUGAUAGGUGAGCCACAGGUGAUAGAGUGAUAGGUGAGCCACAUAUGAUGAGUGAUAGGUGAGCCACAGGUGAUAGUGAUAGGUGAGCCACAUAUGAUACAGCGAUAGGUGAGCCACUUAUGAUACAGUGAUAGGUGAGCCACAUAUGAUACAGUGAUAGGUGAGCCACAUAUGAUACAGUGAUAGGUGAUCCAC
rnacentral:lncRNA from 1 species